AGAAAGCUGAACGUGAACGAUCAAUUGACGCACAGAAAGCUCACGAAAGGGAAGGCUAUCGUAGACGUGAAGAAGAAGACAGAGCACAUUACAAAGCUCGCGUGGAGCAGUUGGAUGGUGAAACUGAGAGGGAGAAGCGGCAAGCAGACGAGGACAGACGAAGGUUUAAGCAGCAGGAACGUGAGACAGUCGGUGCUGCAGUGAGGCACACAAAGGAAAGUGUUGCUGAGCGAGAAGCCGCAGACGCUCAGCAUGCAGUAGAAGAAGCAAGACGUGCAGUGGAAGAGGCAAGGGCCAUGCGAGAUGCAGAGGCACAAGCAGAGACAGAAGCCGAGGCCGCUGCUGCAGACGAAGCCGUUCGACAGGCACAGGAAGCAGCCGAACAAGCACUAGCUGAACAGAGAAAACUUGAGAAGCAGUGCGUUCAAGACGAAUGUAAGGC